CAUGAAGCUUUGAGUGAAGCUCUUCCUAGGGACAAUGUGGGCUUCAAUGUCAGGAAUGUGUCUGUCAAAGAUGUUCAUUGUGGCAAUGUGGCUGGUGACAGCAAAAAUGACCCACCAAUGGAAGCAGCUGGCUUCACAGCUCAGGUGAUUAUCCUGAACCACCCAGGCCAGAUCAGUGCUGGAUAUGCACCUGUGAUGGAUUGUCACACAGCUCACAUUGCUUGCAAAUUUGCUGAGCUGAAGGAGAAGAUUGAUUACCGUUCUGGGAAAAAGCUGGCAGAUGGCCCCAAGUUUUUGAAAUCUGGUGAUGCUGCCAUCGUCGAUAUGGUUCCUGGCAAGCCCAUGUGUGUUGAGAGCUUCUCUGACUACCCUCCUCUGGGCUGUUUCGCUGUUUGUGACAUGAGACAGACAGUUGCUGUGGGUGUCAUCAGAGCAGUGGACAAGAAGGCAGCUGGAGCUGACAAAGUCACCAAGUCUGACCAGGAAGCUCAGAAGGCUAAAUGCAUAUUAUUCCCAACACCUGCCACCCCAGUCUCAAUCAGUGGUGGAAGAACGGUCUCAGAACUGUUUGUCUCAAUUGGCCAUUUAAGUUUAAUAGUAAAAGACUGGUUAAUGAUUACAAUGCAUCGUAAAACCUUCAAAAGGAAAGGAGAAUGUUUUGUGGACCAUUUGGUUCUUUUGUGUGUGUGGCAGUUUUUAAGUUAUUAGUUUUUAAAAUCAGUACUUUUUAAUGGAAACAACAUGACCAAAAAUCUGUCACAGAAUUUUGAGACCCAUUAAAAUAACAAAGUUUAAUGAG